rnacentral:rRNA from 1 species
AGAGUUUGAUCCUGGCUCAGAUUGAACGCUGGCGGCAUGCCUUACACAUGCAAGUCGAACGGCAGCACGGAGCUUGCUCUGGUGGCGAGUGGCGAACGGGUGAGUAAUAUAUCGGAACGUACCCUAGAGUGGGGGAUAACGUAGCGAAAGUUACGCUAAUACCGCAUACGAUCUAAGGAUGAAAGUGGGGGAUCGCAAGACCUCAUGCUCGUGGAGCGGCCGAUAUCUGAUUAGCUAGUUGGUAGGGUAAAAGCCUACCAAGGCAUCGAUCAGUAGCUGGUCUGAGAGGACGACCAGCCACACUGGAACUGAGACACGGUCCAGACUCCUACGGGAGGCAGCAGUGGGGAAUUUUGGACAAUGGGCGAAAGCCUGAUCCAGCAAUGCCGCGUGAGUGAAGAAGGCCUUCGGGUUGUAAAGCUCUUUUGUCAGGGAAGAAACGGUGGGAGCUAAUAUCUCUUGCUAAUGACGGUACCUGAAGAAUAAGCACCGGCUAACUACGUGCCAGCAGCCGCGGUAAUACGUAGGGUGCAAGCGUUAAUCGGAAUUACUGGGCGUAAAGCGUGCGCAGGCGGUUUUGUAAGUCUGAUGUGAAAUCCCCGGGCUCAACCUGGGAAUUGCACUGGAGACUGCUAGGCUAGAAUCUGGCAGAGGGGGGUAGAAUUCCACGUGUAGCAGUGAAAUGCGUAGAUAUGUGGAGGGACACCGAUGGCGAAAGCAGCCCCCUGGGUCAAGAUUGACGCUCAUGCACGAAAGCGUGGGGGAGCAACAGGGAUUAGAUACCCUGGUAGUC